rnacentral:rRNA from 1 species
GAUGAACGCUGGCGGCGUGCCUAAUACAUGCAAGUCGAGCGAAUGGAUUGAGAGCUUGCUCUUAUGAAGUUAGCGGCGGACGGGUGAGUAACACGUGGGUAACCUGCCCAUAAGACUGGGAUAACUCCGGGAAACCGGGGCUAAUACCGGAUAACAUUUUGAACUGCAUGGUUCAAAAUUGAAAGGCGGCUUCGGCUGUCACUUAUGGAUGGACCCGCGUCGCAUUAGCUAGUUGGUGAGGUAACGGCUCACCAAGGCAACGAUGCGUGGCCGACCUGAGAGGGUGAUCGGCCACACUGGGACUGAGACACGGCCCAGACUCCUACGGGAGGCAGCAGUAGGGAAUCUUCCGCAAUGGACGAAAGUCUGACGGAGCAACGCCGCGUGAGUGAUGAAGGCUUUCGGGUCGUAAAACUCUGUUGUUAGGGAAGAACAAGUGCUAGUUGAAUAAGCUGGCACCUUGACGGUACCUAACCAGAAAGCCACGGCUAACUACGUGCCAGCCGCCGCGGUAA